UAGGGUUGCUUGAUGAUUUUACGCAUAGUUCAAAUGAUCAUGUAUAUAUGAUUAAACAUUCGAAGGUCUUUUGCUCCUAUCCGGCGACCUCG